AUUAGCUUGUUGGUAGGGUAAUGGCCUACCAAGGCGACGAUGGGUAGCUGGUCUGAGAGGAUGAUCAGCCACACUGGCACUGAGACACGGCCCAGACUCCUACGGGAGGCAGCAGUGGGGAAUAUUGGACAAUGGGCGCAAGCCUGAUCCAGCCAUGCCGCGUGGGUGAAGAAGGCCUUAGGGUUGUAAACCCCUUUCAGCGGGGAAGAUAAUGACGGUACCCGCAGAAGAAGUCCCGGCUAACUCCGUGCCAGCAGCCGCGGUAAUACGGAGGGGACUAGCGUUGUUCGAAAUUACUGGGCGUAAAGCGCACGUAGGCGGAUUUGUAAGUCAGGGGUGAAAUCCCGGGGCUCAACCUCGGAACUGCCUUUGAUACUGCAAAUCUCGAGUCCGGAAGAGGUGAGUGGAAUUCCUAGUGUAGAGGUGAAAUUCGUAGAUAUUAGGAAGAACACCAGUGGCGAAGGCGGCUCACUGGUCCGGUACUGACGCUGAUGUGCGAAAGCGUGGGGAGCAAACAGGAUUAGAUACCCUGGUAGUCCACGCCGUAAACUAUGGGUGCUAGCCGUCGGGGAGCAUGCUCUUCGGUGGCGCAGCAAACGCAUUAAGCACCCCGCCUGGACAUGGAAUUCCCGCGGCCC
rnacentral:rRNA from 1 species